CUGGGCACCGGCUGGGGACAGAGGAAAAGGCACCGAACCCUGCUCUCGGGCUCUCUCCCCCCAGCCCGCUCCGGACACUGCGCUCCAACCAGGAGGAGCAGGAGGAGGAGGAGGAUGAACAAAAUGGCCGCCGCCACCAGCCAGGCAGGAAACAGGGCAGAGCGCAGGCGCGACCCGCCAGGUCACCGCUCAGGCCAGCCGCGACAGCCUGCAAGGGGGACGACCGAGGGGAGAGAAAAAAGGGCCGCCGAGGAAACCCUGGGACCCGCUCACGACGGAUCACGUCGUCGCUGUGGGCCUCUGGCCGGCCGAAGCCCAGCCAGCUCCGGGAGAGAUCGGGCAAAAAGAGAAACGUCGUGAAGCCGAAGUCUCUGGGAAUUGUGGUCCUGGAAAUGAGAGAGGGAAGCACUUCUGCAGAGGACUUCUGGAACCUGUGGUUAAGAGGAGCCGCCGGCGCCCACCCGCGCUGGGACGUGAAGAGGAGACUUCUGGGUAGUGUAGUCAUACGUGAGGACGUGCGACGACCAGGAAGUCGGCGGGCUGGGAGGUAAAGGGAAGAAUAAAAGCGACAUUGAAAGGCGGGGAGACCAAGUGGGGAAAAGCGCUGUCUGGGAAAGCGAACUACAAGUCCCAGAGUUCCUCGCGCCGGGGGCUGUCCUCGGACUGCUCCAGGCAUUGUAAGGCUCUUCUGUUGGCCCAGUCUGAGCUGCUGCUCCGCCUUCGUCCAGCCCGAGAGCGGUUUCUUCAACUGUGGCUCAGGCAGCACUCUCCCUCCGCGUGGUGUCCGAGCCAGCAGGGCCGUCCGGCCCUCCUGUGUUCAUCAGAACGGCUGGCUCGCGUUAGUCAACCGCCGCUUCGCGCGACAGUCAGAAGAGAGGCUGUGCUGGCGGGGACCCGGAGGGGUUGGGGUGUUUUGGGGACUCGAUUUCCCACAAAUAGGUAUUUCUAGCCUAUUUGUUAAAUACAAGUAGGUGGCCUGCUUGUAAAUUGCUUUACAAGUUUCAGAGGUUUCCCUAUCAAAUGUCUCAUCGGAUAGUGGGGUAAGAAGAGGAGCCCUAUUAUAAUGACUUGCCCAACUCCCCCCGUAUUCUUGGAGUUAAAAGAAAAAAAAAUCCUUGGGCAGAGACGUGCACAAACAUAAAGUUGCGUUUACAGACAUCAGUCAUGUGGGCUAGAAACGCAGUUUUGCAUGAAGAUAGGGGAAGCCAUGUUCAUACUAGCUCUGCAUCCCUGUAGAAUUUGUCUUCUCACCCCCCACAACAGUUCCUGGUGUGCUUUUUUCCUCCUCUAAGUACCUUCAGGAGAAAGUACUUGGUCUUGUAGCUUAGUGAAGAGUGGCGAUGAAGAAAGAUCUUUCAGCCCAUUGCCAGAACUUAACUGCCCCGGUUAGUAAUGGCUUAAGAGUUGCUUCUGCCGACAUGUACUAAGUGCAUGUCGACCUCUGCAAGUGGCGGUGCGUAUGCGUGCCACUGAACAUUAAUCUUGAAAGCAGAAUCAACCAUGCAGCAAGCCCUUAUGUUGUCCAUUUUCAGGGGAGGAAAUUUCAACCUGAAAGACUUCAUAGAGACACGGCAAAGGAGUUGAGCCCCAUAAGAGUCCGUAGGAACAACAAAAGGCUCAGACGCCAGGACCCAUGGCUAAAAUGUAUGGGCUGGGGAUGCGGGCGGGAGCGGGGGGAAGGGAACUAAAGCUAGAGAGGACCUUGUAGAACCGUGUUGUCAAGAAUCUAUUUCAUGCUGAGGAAUUUGAGCUUUCUCUUCCAGGCAGUGAGGAGCCACUCAAAGGUUUUGUCUAUGUUUUUAAUUGGACCUAGGUGUAGAACUGGAUUUAAUUAUAAUCCAAUUCAUUAACCCAUGCCUGGCCCGCUGUGAUAGUUUCCUGUUGAUGCUGUAACAAAUUACUGCAAAUUUAGAUACUUAAAACAACACGAAUUUAUUUUCUUACAAUUCUGGAAGUCAGAAGUCCAAAAUCAGUUACACUGGGCUAAAAUCAAGGUGUCGGCAGGGCUGGUUCCUUGCCUUUUCCAGCUUCUAGAGGCUGCCUGCAUUCCUUGGCUCUUGGCCCCAUCCUCCAUCUUCAAGAAAAGAAGCAUAGUAUCUUCUUUCUUCUCUGCCUCUGUACGUACAUCGUGAUUCUCCUGCCACCCCUUUUCAUUUACGAGAACCUUUUGUGAUUACUUUGGGCGAAGAUUAUCUCAAGAUUCUUAAUCACAUCUGCAAAGUCCCUUUUAGCAUAACAUUCCCAAAUUCUGGGAAUUAGGACAUAGAAAUCUUUGGUGGACCAUUAUUCAGUUUACCGCACCCACCUUUAUUACUUUAGUUUUGAUUAUAGCCACAAACCCACCACACUAAAAAGUUAUAAUGACACGAGUUUAUAUCUGUAUCUAUGCUAUACCUCCUACACACAAUAACACACACCCCUGCCUUCGCUUGGGGUAACCAUCUUUCUGAAUCCUGUCUUUACUAUUUAUUGCUUUCCUUCUACAAGGUUUUAUUCCACAUGUACAUAGUCCUAAAAAUCAUAUGUAUAUACAUGUAUAUUUGAGUUUUUUUUUAACUUAGUAAAAAGAAUAUGCCCACUACAAACUAGAAUGGUUAAAAUGGGCAUGUUUACUGGCAGUGAAAUUAUUAAGGUUAAAAUCCAAAACACUAACACCACCAAGUGCUGGUGAGUAUGAAAAGCAACAGGAACUAUCAUUCUUUGCUGGUAGGACUGCAAAAUGUUAUAGCCCCUUUGGAGGACAGCUUGUCAGUUCCUUACAAAACUAAACAUAAUGCCUAGGUACUUACCCAAAUGAGCUGAAAACAUGUUUACAUAAAAACCUGCACACAAAUGUUUACAGCAGCUUUGUUCAUAAUCAUCCCAAAUUGGAAGCAACUAAGAUGUCCUUGAUAUAAGUGAAUGGAUAAACUGUCGUACAAGGUGGUACAUCCAUGCAAAGAAAUAUUGUUCAGUGAUUUUUUUAAAAAGAGCUAUUGAUAUGGUUUGGCUCUGUAUCCCCACCCAAUCUGAUCUUGAAUUGUACUCCCAUAAUUCCCACGUGUUGUGGGAGGGACCUGGUGGGAGAUAAUUUGAAUCCUGGGGGCAGUUUCCCCCAGACUGUUCUUGUGGUAGUGAAUAAGUCUCACGAGAUCUGAUGGUUUUAUCAGGGGUUUCCGCUUUUGCAUCAUCCUCAUUUUCUCUUGCUGCCACCAUGAUUCUGAGGCCUUCCCAGCCAUGUGGAACUCUAAGUCCAAUUAAACCUCUUUUUCUUCCCAGUCUGGGGUAUGUCUUUAUCAGCAGUGUGAAAACAGACUAAUACAGCUCUCAAGCUACAAAAAGACAUGGAGGAAUGUUAAAUGUACAGCACCAAGAGAAGCCCAGUGGAAAAGGCUGUAAACGCUACAACUUUAACUAUAUGACACUCUGGAAAGGGCAAAACUCAGUGGUUCCCUGGGCAUCAGGGAAGGAGAGAGGGAUGAAUAGGUGGAACACAGGUCAUUUUUACUGGUAGUGAAAUUAUUCAGUAUGAUACUCUCAUAGUGGAUACAUGACCUUAUGCAUUUGUCAAAACCCAUAGAACUGUGCCACACAAAGUGAGUCCUAAUGUAAACUAUGGACUUCAGUUAAUCAUAAUGUAUCAAUAGUUGUUCCUCAGUUGUACAUUUGUUGGAAUUGAUGAACCAAUAUUGAUACAUUGUGAUUAACUGAAGUUUAUAUAUCAAUUAUGAAUUGAUAUACUUGUUAACACUAAUAUAAAACAGUAAUAACAGGGGAAACUAUGUUUGUAAUGGGAGAGAGGGCACAUGGGAACUCUGUACUUCAUGCACAAUUUUUCUAUAAACCUAAUACUGCUCUCAAAAGUCUAUUACAAAGGAAAAAAUUAUGUCCUUGUAAUCUUUUGAGACUGCUUUUCACUUAAUUAACACACAUAAGAUUCAGCCAUAUUUUAUGGCUAUCAUUCAUUCAGACUAUUAUAUGAUAUUCCAGUGUAUAAAUAUACUACAUUUGUCUGAUUUCUCAUUAAUGGAUAUUUGGGUUGCUUCCAGGUUUUUAUACUGUGAAUAAUGCUGCUAUGAACAUUCUUUUUUUUUUUUUUAACCUUUCUUUAUUUUUAUUUUUUUUUUUGUUUUUGAGAUGGAGUCUUGCUCUGUCAUCCAUCUAGAGUGCAGUGGUGCAAUCUCGGCUCACUGCAACCUCCGCCUCCCGCAUUCAAGCGAU
rnacentral:lncRNA from 1 species